UCUUAUUUUAUUAUGUUUUAUUUUUGAUUUGUUUAUUUUUAAUAGAAGUAACUUUAUCUUAUUUUUGUCUUAGUAUUUUUUAUAGAAUUGAUUACUUUAAUUAUAGUUUAUUAGUAACGUUAGUGAAUUAUUGAUAUAUUUUUUAAGUGAGAGAAAGUAUUUUUUAUUUAUAGUACCUUUUGUAUCAGGGUUGAUCAAAAUUUUAGUAUUUAUUUACUAAUCUCGAUUUGAGUUGAUUUAUCCAAGCAUUAAGGUUAAUGUUGUAUAUUUAUCUUUCAUGUUUGGCUGGAAAUGAUAUGUUAGUCGUUUCUCAAGAUAUCUAGUUUCUUAAGAAAAAAUUUAAUUUUUGAUGAUUACUGUCUAAUUUUAAUUUUUUAAUUUUAGUUAGUUUUUUGUUUAUUCUUUAGGGGAUAAGCUCUGAAGUUAAUUAUCCUACAAUUUUGUUUUUAGAAUAUAAAAGUAGGCUUUGAACCAGCUAUCUUUUAGAUUGCGUUUUAGUUCAUUAUUCCUUUUCUUGAUUUUUUAACUAUUUUAGGUUUAAUAUUAAGAUGAUAUAUUUAAUUUUAUAUUUUAUGAAAUAAUGAUUAAAUUAGUAUAGUUUUUUGUUUAUAGAUUUAUUGUUGGUUAAUUUAUUUAAAGGAAUUAGGCAAUAUAAAUUCUCGCCUGUUUAUCAAAAACAUGUCCUUUUGAUUAAAAUUUAAGGUCUGACCUGCUCACUGAUAGUUUAAAGAGCCGCAGUAUUUUGACUGUGCAAAGGUAGCAUAAUCAUUAGUCUCUUAAUUGGAGGCUGGAAUGAAUGGUUUGACGAGGAAUUGACUGUCUCUAAAUAAGAUCUAUAAUUUAACCUUUAAGUUAAAAGGCUUAAAUUUUUCUUUAGGACGAGAAGACCCUAUAGAGCUUGAUAUUUUAGUUUGAUGUAUUUUUCUGUUUGUUUUUGUUUAUUUAGUUUAAAGUAUUUUGUUGGGGUGACAUGAAGAAUAGUUAAACUCUUCAUUAUUAAAUCAUUGAUUUAUGUUAGUUUGAUCCAUAAUUUAUGAUCAAAAGAUUAAGUUACCUUAGGGAUAACAGCGUAAUUGAUUUUGAGAGCUCAAAUCGACAAAUCAGAUUGCGACCUCGAUGUUGGAUUAAGAAAAAUACUAGGUGCAGUAGUUUAGUAAUUAGGUCUGUUCGACCUUUAAAUUCUUACAUGAUCUGAGUUCAGACCGGCGUGAGCCAGGUCGGUUUCUAUCCUAAGAAAAUUAAUUUACAUUAGUACGAAAGGACCGUGUAGGUGAAAUAUUUUUAUUAUUAUGAUUAAUAUUAAUUUUGGUUA
rnacentral:rRNA from 1 species